AAUCACCUCAUAUCUACUUGA
rnacentral:snRNA from 1 species